rnacentral:tRNA from 1 species
AUUGUUGAGCUGCAUUGGCGGGAUUUCGCCGUCUUCGUUUCUCUUUCUUCGCGGACGAACACGCGCUGGGGCUGCAAGUUUGCAGAGUCCCUGGUCCUUGACUGGAUAUGCGUUAGGGGCUUGUAGCUCAGUUGGUUAGAGCGCGCGCUUGAUAAGCGUGAGGUCGGAAGUUCAAGUCUUCCCAGGCCCACCACUUUCAUCGAGUGAGCAUUCGUCUUCUGGUUACGGGGCCAUAGCUCAGCUGGGAGAGCGCGUGCUUUGCAAGCAUGAGGUCGUCGGUUCGAUCCCGUCUGGCUCCACCAGAUGGUUUGAUCAUCGACUGAUCGUGCACCUAAAUCGUCCGCGAAACAUCACUUCGCAUCUUGCUAGUCUGGAUAGACAGCAAGUUGCGUGAUUUCUGACAUCGUAAAGAGGAGAUCGAUCCGAGUUGGAUCGUGCAGCAAGCAAUUGCUACGCGAGACUUCAUUAUCUCCGGAUCAUUUCGGCGCUCGUGCGUCUUUCAAGGGCAGCUCACAAGGCUGCUUCUGGAGAGACAAGCGAGUUGUAAAUGAUCCUUUUAGCGAAGCUUGACCGCCUCGCUAUCGGAACGAUCUUACGAAGCAAGCUGGUCUUUCUAAUCAUUGUCCGGCUGCAGAUAGCGUUCAUCGAGGGCGCGUGCCGCAAGGCAGUUCUGCAGACAACAUUCUGCCGAGUGUGUGGACAUUGAUAAUGAGAGCAAUCAAGUGCCUUAAGGGUGUUCGGUGGAUGCCUUGGCGCUGAGAGGCGAUGAAGGACGUGCUACGCUGCGAU